CUCUUGUUCACUCUCGCACCCUUCUGGUGUAGCAGGUGGAAAAGAAACCAAAAGUAAACGCGGCAGCCUGUGGGGCAUGAGCCUAAAGACGAGGGCGAUGCCUUUGGAGCAGGGGGAGCAAUUGCCUUCCUCCCCUCUCAGAAAGGCCCACCAGCCCUUUCGGCAGCACUGUGCACCACAGGAACUGGUGUGAAGCUACCAAGGCUCGGCAGGAGGGAGGUGGGCGAGCACCGAGCAGAGGCACGCGAGUAAGAGGGCAGGGCUGGGGGGGCGAGCCAGCCGGGAGUUUCCAGCCAUGCAGCUGCUGCGAGCGCCCAACCCAGCGCUCAAAACACGGAGCAAUGCACAGCGACUCAGGAAGGCCUGUGAGGAGGAUAUAAAUGCCUAACCCACCAUUUCCUUCCCCCGGCUCAGCCUACCUCGCAGCAACUAGCUGACAUGUCCGGGCACCUACAGGCAGCGCUGGUAUGGGGCGCCACUGGCAUUCCCCGUGUCGAAGUAGCUCCUGAGGAGGACAUCUGGACAGUGAUUUCCAGGCCAACUCAUCCUUCUGGGAGGUGCAGUCCCCAAAGACGCUGGGAAGAGCUUCCAGGCACAAAAGGCUGCAGAAUAUUCAAUUGUGGAAUCACACCGGAGCCUACUCUCAUAUCCAGGAUGUGCCCCAAGCCUAGGAAGCAGCAAAGCCAGACCAGACCAGACCUGCUCUAUCUAGGAACAAAUUCACUUUGUCUGGCAUGCCUUCAGGUCCCUGAUGACGAGUUUUGGACCAAGUGCAUAUUUUCAUCCUGAUUUUUGGUCUUUCAAGUUGCAGCUGUGAGUCUUUGGAGAGUCACUGCUCUCCUCCUGCCAACCCUUCUGCAUGGCAAAGAAUUACCAUGGGGACUGGCAUGCAAACAGCAAGGCCAAAAAUGCUCGUGAACAUACUGAAUACUGAUGAACUAAUGCAACUUCCUUUGUCAUUUUGACGUAACCAGGCUCUCAGAAAAGUAACAGUUACUUUGCUAGGUGUGUAACAGAAGGUUCACUACAUGUUUGCUCUAUCUAUCCUUUUUGUAAUAAAAUGGACCCCCAUUACGUACA
rnacentral:lncRNA from 1 species